CACGUAGGGGACGAGCGUUGUUCGGAUUCAUUGGGCGUAAAGGGUGCGUAGGUGGCGAGGUUAGUCAGGUGUGAAAUCUCGGGGCUCAACCCCGAAACUGCACUUGAUACUGCCUUGCUAGAGUACUGGAGAGGAGAUUGGAAUUUACGGUGUAGCAGUGAAAUGCGUAGAUAUCGUAAGGAAGACCAGUGGCGAAGGCGAAUCUCUGGACAGUUACUGACACUGAGGCACGAAGGCCAGGGGAGCAAACGGG
rnacentral:rRNA from 1 species